UCGGUCCUUACAAAGAUUUUAAGCCAGAAAUUUGUAGAAAGGAUGGAUUUUUUAGCGGUGUUUUUUCUCCUCGUCUUGGCUGUUUUGCCGUUUUCGUUCGGGCAGGGUCCAGAGCAACGUACACCGGAGUUGGCAACGAGAGGUCCAAACCUGUGUGAAUACAUCAACCCAGUGAGUAACGAUACAGAGUACCGGUGUUGUGACGAAUGGCAACAGUACGGACACUUCUGCAUCGUGGGCGCCUGUGACUCGUCAGUAGCGACCCUAUGUCACACCGUAGGACAAGUCUGCGUC